rnacentral:rRNA from 1 species
GACGUAGGGGGCAAGCGUUGUCCGGAAUCAUUGGGCGUAAAGCGCUCGUAGGCGGUCUGUCGCGUCGGCUGUGAAAACUCGGGGCUCAACUCCGAGCUUGCAGUCGAUACGGGCAGGCUAGAGUUCGGCAGGGGAGACUGGAAUUCCUGGUGUAGCGGUGAAAUGCGUAGAUAUCAGGAGGAACACCUGUGGCGAAAGCGGCUCACUGGACCAUAACUGACGCUGAUGCACGAAAGCUAGGGGAGCAAACAGG